rnacentral:rRNA from 1 species
CAGUCGCCACGGUAAUACAGAGGGUGCGAGCGUUAAUCGGAUUUACUGGGCGUAAAGCGUGCGUAGGCGGCUUCUUAAGUCGGAUGUGAAAUCCCUGAGCUUAACUUAGGAAUUGCAUUCGAUACUGGGAAGCUAGAGUAUGGGAGAGGAUGGUAGAAUUCCAGGUGUAGCGGUGAAAUGCGUAGAGAUCUGGAGGAAUACCGAUGGCGAAGGCAGCCAUCUGGCCUAAUACUGACGCUGAGGUACGAAAGCAUGGGGAGCAAACAGGAUUAGAUACCCCGGUAGUCCAUGUCUCUUAUAA